rnacentral:rRNA from 1 species
GACGAACGCUGGCGGCGUGCUUAACACAUGCAAGUCGAACGGAAAGGCCCUGCUUUUGUGGGGUGCUCGAGUGGCGAACGGGUGAGUAACACGUGAGUAACCUGCCCUUGACUUUGGGAUAACUUCAGGAAACUGGGGCUAAUACCGGAUAGGAGCUCCUGCUGCAUGGUGGGGGUUGGAAAGUUUCGGCGGUUGGGGAUGGACUCGCGGCUUAUCAGCUUGUUGGUGGGGUAGUGGCUUACCAAGGCUUUGACGGGUAGCCGGCCUGAGAGGGUGACCGGCCACAUUGGGACUGAGAUACGGCCCAGACUCCUACGGGAGGCAGCAGUGGGGAAUAUUGCACAAUGGGCGGAAGCCUGAUGCAGCAACGCCGCGUGCGGGAUGACGGCCUUCGGGUUGUAAACCGCUUUCGCUGUGACGAAGCGUGAGUGACGGUAAUGGGUAAAGAAGCACCGGCUAACUACGUG